rnacentral:rRNA from 1 species
UACGGGGGGGCGAGCGUUGUUCGGAAUUACUGGGCGUAAAGGGCGCGUAGGCGGUCUGCUAAGUUGGAUGAUGAAACUCUGGGCUUAACCCAGAGCCUGCAUUCAAUACUGACAGGCUAGAGUUCUGGAGGGAUAGCGGAAUUCCUGGUGUAGCGGUGAAAUGCGUAGAUAUCAGGAGGAACACCGGUGGCGAAGGCGGCUAUCUGGACAGAGUCUGACGCUGAGGCGCGAAAGCUAGGGGAGCAAACAGG